rnacentral:rRNA from 1 species
GUGCCAGCCGCCGCGGUAAUACGGAGGGUGCAAGCGUUAUCCGGAUUCACUGGGUUUAAAGGGUGCGUAGGCGGGCUUGUAAGUCAGUGGUGAAAGCCCGGAGCUUAACUCCGGAACUGCCAUUGAUACUGCAGGUCUUGAGUACACUUGAGGUGGGCGGAAUACAUCAUGUAGUGGUGAAAUACUUAGAUAUGAUGUAGAACACCGAUUGCGAAGGCAGCUCACUAAAUUGUAACUGACGCUGAGGCACGAAAGCGUGGGGAUCAAACAGGAUUAGAUACCCUGGUAGUCC